UCCUGAAGGGUGGAGAAUGCAGGGAAUGAGCUCAGCAAGCACUUUUAGGGUCAGAGCCCUGGUGGCAUGCUGAGCCCAGGCUUGGACUGAGGCCAUGUGAGAACUUUGCAGGCUCACAAUCAGGAUGCAGAGCAUCACCGAGUCCAUCUGCAUUACCUUCCACGUGCUUUGGGUGCAGCAAACCCAACAGACACAUCCCCAGGCUCCAGUUUUCCUGCUUUCCUGCAGAACCCUUUACAAAGCUCCCCCUGGCACUGCCUGGGGAGCUGCAGAACAAGUCUGCGUUGUUUCUGGCUGCCUGAGCUGGGGGGAGGACAAGGCAUGGGGGGAGAAAAAAACACAAAUGCUGACCUUACCCAGCUGUGCUAAAUGCUCUGGGCUUGUCAUGGUUUGUGCAUAAUCCCUUGUCUCCAUGCAUAGGGUUAGGGAAGCUUGGCUUUUAUUCCUCAAGCAGAAAAACAGCAACACUGAAUUACAUGGGGCAAUAUUUGCUGGCGUCAGUCCCCCAAAGCAAAGCUUUGCUUCUCAGAAACACUUGUGUUGGUGAUGCCCAGGUGCCCCUCUUUGUCAGGACUGCCAGCUGUACAGUGACAUCUUGCUCCCCAGCCCUGAAACAGUGCCGCUCUCCACUUCUCUUUUAGUUGGUGCUUUUUCCCCUGCAGACCUCUGAGUGAUUGAGAGGUUUUUCUGGACAGCAGUCUCUAGCUCUCAAAGAGGACUGUGAAGUAGUUAGCAGCAUCUGCCACGCUCACCCUUCCAGCCAUUCUGUGCUGCUAUUGAUUCUGAGGGCUACGUAAUUUAUUUAUUUUCAUAUUCUUCUGCAGCUCUUCCACAAAGAGCCCUUCAGCAACGCGUGCCUGACAGAUGGCCUCAGAGCUCUGCUGUGUUUUAGCAGCUCUGCGUGCCCAGAGGCGCAUUUAAACACACACAGCUUCCCAGCUGCCUCCCACUGCUCACUGCCACGUAAGGGACUGCUUUGCAGGGCACACUGGUGCUGGGACAGCUGGGUUACAUCACUGCUUGCUUCCUUACCUGCACAGCAUCUUCCAUCAGGGACCUUCCCCAGGAUAAGGGUGCAGCGUGACCUGUGCUGCAGGAUCAGCUUGCUGGGUGCAAACCUUUGGCAGGCACCCACUGCUUAUUUGCUCCUUAAUUGUUUCCAUUCAUUCAGAGUUUUCCCAAGCUGGAAAUCAUCACUGGUGACCAGUUAGCUCCAAGAAUGCGGAGGGCAUUGCAGGAGAACAAUGGACAUUUCCCUGAAGACGCUCAAGUUACCAUUAAGCAGUCAGAAAUACAAAUAAAGAGAGCAAAAGAAGCUAUCCAGCAUAUAUUUGAGUGGAAUUGUAUUACCAUGCAGAUCCCUAACAAGUUAACCUACAGAGAUCUCGGGAGAUGAGGAGAAUGAGUGUAUGGGAACUGCUGCAUCACGGCCUGAAGCUCUGAUUGAUCACCUGAGGUGAGCUGUGGGUCAGCCAGAGGAGCACAGGUGAAGGCAAUUCACCUGUCCUAGACCUAUUUAAGAGCUGGCUACCAGUGGGGAAGGAUCUCAUCUGGAGAUCUGCUCUGCUGGUGUUUUUUGUGGGUGAGCCUAGCAUAUGGGAUGAGAACUCACAGUUAUACUGUGCUCAUAGCUACCUGCCAUAAAUCCGGCACGAAGCAGCUGUCUCCUGUGAUUCAUGCUGGGGAUGCAUCCAGAUCAAGGUAAGCUGCCUGCUUGGUACUCACUGUCGGUACCUUCAGCUCUUUCUGGGUAUUUUUUUUUUUUUAUCUUGGAAAUGAACACUGAGAAAAUGAAUACUCCUGGCUCAAAACCCUUGUAGCCUCUUAUCAGACCAGAGGCUUGAUUUUAAAGAAAACAAGAAAAUUGCCUUCCUCUCCAGAAGGAUGCCAGGCUCAGCUGUGCUGAACUCCGGAACAAAGCCCAUGUGAGGGUUUGAGGAGCACAUGCACAGCACACACAGCAGCCUCCUGCAGGCCCAGUCCCCAGCUGGCACAGCUGCCCCAAGGCAGAAGACAUCAAGGGUGCCUCUGUUCUAAGGACAGAGAUCUCAGGGCUGCAGUCUCACUGCUGUGCUGUAGUCAUGCUUUGCUGCACCAGGGCAUCCCUGAGGUAGAGCUUACCCCAAGAUCUGCUGUGAUGCGGAGAAGUGGCUCCAGCUGAAAACAGAACGCAGGUGUUUCUUCCUUUAUAGUCCAGGGAGUUCUCUGAUGCAUAUGCACUGUAUGAUAUUCUGCAAGAUGCCCUACCAACCAUAUGGAGCUGUGUAAGGGGACUUCCAGCAGAGUUAUUGGUCAGGUUCUGCACCUUGGGAAGUGAUUUCAGGUUGCAAGUCAGACCAGGAAAAAAGCAAGACAGUUUAGUCUGUGCUCCCACCCUGCAGAGUCCUGUAACAAUAGAAAAAGCCUUAAAAUGCAAAAAUCUGUGUUCCAACCAUUCAGGCUAUGGGCUGGAACAGUCUUGUUCACUCAGUACACAGAAGCAUUCAGCAGUAAUUUGAACUGUAAAUGAGACAUAUCGGACCAGUUUCACCUGAAGCA